rnacentral:tRNA from 1 species
GCUUUUGGUUCAGUGGUAAAAUGCUCGCCUGCCACGCGGGCGCCCCAGGUUCGAUUCCCGGCCAAUGCA